rnacentral:rRNA from 1 species
UACAGGGGGGGCAAGCGUUGUUCGGAAUUACUGGGCGUAAAGGGUCUGUAGGUGGCCAACUAAGUCAGACGUGAAAUCCCUCAGCUUAACUGGGGAACUGCGUCUGAUACUGGAUGGCUUGAGUGUGGGAGAGGAAUGCGGAAUUCCAGGUGUAGCGGUGAAAUGCGUAGAUAUCUGGAGGAACACCGGUGGCGAAGGCGGCAUUCUCGGACCAUAACUGACACUGAGAGACGAAAGCCAGGGGAGCAAACGGG